rnacentral:rRNA from 1 species
CGGUAACAGGGGUAGCUUGCUACCCGCUGACGAGCGGCGGACGGGUGAGUAAUGCAUAGGAAUCUGCCCUGAUGUGGGGGAUAACCAUUGGAAACGAUGGCUAAUACCGCAUAAUGCCUACGGGCCAAAGAGUGGGACCUUCGGGCCUCUCGCGUCAGGAUAUGCCUAGGUGGGAUUAGCUAGUUGGUGAGGUAAUGGCUCACCAAGGCGACGAUCCCUAGCUGGUCUGAGAGGAUGAUCAGCCACACUGGAACUGAGACACGGUCCAGACUCCUACGGGAGGCAGCAGUGGGGAAUAUUGCACAAUGGGCGCAAGCCUGAUGCAGCCAUGCCGCGUGUGUGAAGAAGGCCUUCGGGUUGUAAAGCACUUUCAGUCGUGAGGAAGGUAGUGUAGUUAAUAGCUGCAUUAUUUGACGUUAGCGACAGAAGAAGCACCGGCUAACUCCGUGCCAGCAGCCGCGGUAAUACGGAGGGUGCGAGCGUUAAUCGGAAUUACUGGGCGUAAAGCGCAUGCAGGUGGUUUGUUAAGUCAGAUGUGAAAGCCCGGGGCUCAACCUCGGAAUAGCAUUUGAAACUGGCAGACUAGAGUACUGUAGAGGGGGGUAGAAUUUCAGGUGUAGCGGUGAAAUGCGUAGAGAUCUGAAGGAAUACCGGUGGCGAAGGCGGCCCCCUGGACAGAUACUGACACUCAGAUGCGAAAGCGUGGGGAGCAAACA